rnacentral:lncRNA from 1 species
UGGGUUUCACCAUGUUAGCCAGGAUGGUCUACGAUCUCCCGACCUCGUGAUCCACCCACCUUGGCCUACCCAAAGUGCUGAGAUUACAGGGUGAGCCACCGCGCCCGGCCAGAUGAUGACUUUUAAGUGAAGACCUUAAGAAGGUGAUGGGGGAUGCCAAGGUGAUAUCUGAGAAGAGCAUUCCAGGCAGAGAGGAUGUCACAUGCAAAGGCCCUGAGAGCAGGGAAAUUUGAACACAGGCACAGAGGAAAGAAGGUCAUGUGAUGACACAGGCAGAGAUUGGAGUGGUGCAGCUGCAAGCCAAGGAAAGCCAAGGAUUUCCAGCAACCACCUGAAGCUAGAAAGAAGCAAAGAAAGAUAAUUCCCUAGAGCCUUCAAAUAGAGCACAGCCCA